rnacentral:rRNA from 1 species
AUACGGAGGGUGCAAGCGUUAUCCGGAUUUAUGGGGUUUAAAGGGUGCGCAGGCGGAUAAUUAAGUCAGUGGUGAAAUCCUCCCGCUCAACGGGAGAACUGCCAUUGAUACUGAUAAUCUGGAAUACGGUUGAAGUGGGCGGAAUGUAGCAUGUAGCGGUGAAAUGCAUAGAGAUGCUACAGAACACCGAUCGCGAAGGCAGCUCACUAAGCCGAUAUUGACGCUCAGGCACGAAAGCGUGGGUAGCGAACAGGAUUAGAAACCCCGGUAGUCC